CAAUUGUACUUGAUUGAUGAACCCUCGAAACUUUGAUCUUGUACCAUCAAAUUUCUCGGGUAAGGCAAUUCUUGGUUCUCUAGUGCUUACAGGGUGUUGUACAAUUGGAAAAGGAACGUGAUUUGUUGUAGAUGUUGAAGCAGCUCCGAUCAUCUCUAUAUCCUCACUUUCUGCUAUUCUUGUUCUUUCCUGUGUUGGUGAAUUGAGUUGAUGCAUCGCAAGCAUUAACUCCCUCAUUUGCUCUUGCAUUUGUGCCAUUGCACUCUUCAUUUCAACAAGCUCUGCCAUAAUGACACUAAGAAGAAAAAUUUGUUUGAUACUGCUUAAGACAAAAGAAAAGAAAGACUUGAUAACAAAGAAGAUACUAAGAA
rnacentral:lncRNA from 1 species